rnacentral:rRNA from 1 species
UUAGGAAUUUUGCGCAAUGGGGGAAACCCUGACGCAGCAACGCCGCGUGAGUGAAGAAGGCCUUCGGGUUGUAAAGCUCUUUCGACAGGGAAGAAACAAAUGACGGUACCUGUAUAAGAAGCACCGGCUAACUCCGUGCCAGCAGCCGCGGUAAUACGGAGGGUGCAAGCGUUGCUCGGAAUUACUGGGCGUAAAGCGUACGUAGGCGGUUUAGUAAGUCUGAUGUGAAAGCCCACGACUCAAUCGUGGAAGUGCAUUGGAUACUGCUAGACUAGAGUAGAGGAGAGGUGAGCGGAAUUCCAGGUGUAGAGGUGAAAUUCGUAGAUAUCUGGAGGAACAACAGAGGCGAA